rfam:Picea glauca, whole genome shotgun sequence.
ACAAUGGUUUUCUUCAAAACCACCCCAAUAAUUUUUUAAAAUAUGG